AUCAGUUUUGCCUGCCUUGGGUUUUCCCUCUGCACUGGCAUCUAGCCAACCUUCGGAGGUUCUUCCUGGCCUGGCAUUUUUUAUGGUAGGUUUCAAGACCCUUGAAGUACUUAGCUCUCUCUGCUCAUAUGGCUGCUUUUCCACCUCUGUGGUUGCAGACCACAUCUUCCCUGUGGCCUUCGCCACCUGCACCACAGACCAGUUGGGGUUCUCCCUCUUCACCUGGGCAUAGUGGUCUUGGCAGAACAGCAGGAAGGAUGAUGGAGGCCGUCUGGGCGCCUGGGGGUCCCACUUUCUUCUUUUCCUUCUCUUUCCGACAUAAUUCAUCAUUUCUUUCUGGUAUCGGGCUUUGUCGAGUUUUGCCAGGGCUUCGUACUUGGCCUUUUCAUGCUUUGAGACAGCCCUCCAUUUUUCCAAACACUUUCUAGAGAACUCUUUAAAGCCAAAGUAGGUAUUUGGCUGCUGCUCCGUGCAUUUGUUUCAGUAAUUCAAUAAAAAGUGGAUAUAAGAAGAAAGGUUCACCUUGGGUCUUGGCUGUACUUCUUUUCCCAUGUUCAUAAAAUCAUGUUGUCCUUUUUUUUUUCUGGUUUCUGUCAUUUGGACAGUAGAGACUUUUGUCUCCUCGCACCAGGAGCAAUCUAGAAGGUGCUCUGCUGGCAGUGAAUGUUUCUCUCUGCAAGAGCUGCACUCAGAGGUCUGCCUUUUCAGUGGUGGUGGCUUUGUUGGGUCAGAGGAGGGAAAUUGUGACAUCACCCAUAAACUGGCCAAUCCUGGCCAACACUUGUAAGCAUUUGCAUACAGGUGCUCUGAUUGGUUGGUUGCUCCAUGAUCUGUCUGUAUCUCUCCAGAAAGAUGAUAGUUUAUCCAAAGAAAGCUGUGGAGCAGCUGCUGCCACUGGGAAUAAUUCUCCUUGGCUUCCUUGAGUUUCCAGCAGCUGAGCAUGGCAAGGAGGCUUGCCUAACUCCAGAUCCCAGUGGGAAGUUCUGCCAAAGCCAUUCACAGGGAUCUAAGAUUGACUUCAAAUUUUGACUUAUGUAAAAGAUGGAAACCAGAUAGAGUUCCCAGGCCUGAGUUCAAACCCCACAGUUUUCGAUAGCUGUGCCCACCUAAAGCAUGUUCUUCCUCCCUAUGAGCCAGUGGAUUCUCAUAAAAACCAGGAAGAUGAACCAGAUAACUAUCUCAUGGCUGGCAGAUCCAUGAUAAAAGCAGAGGUUGGUCACAGUUCCACUUUUGCUGGCUCUGAGUACUCUGUCACUUCCCUACAUUCCAUGACUUUCCUAUACCCUGCACUCACCUUUGCAGAUCAUCUCUUUAUUAAACACUCC
rnacentral:lncRNA from 1 species